rnacentral:rRNA from 1 species
GACGAACGCUGGCGGCGUGCUUAACACAUGCAAGUCGAACGGUGAAGCGAGUGCUUGCACUCGUGGAUCAGUGGCGAACGGGUGAGUAACACGUGAGUAACCUGCCCAUCACUCUGGGAUAAGCACUGGAAACGGCGUCUAAUACUGGAUACGACCAACCCUUGCAUGGGGUGUUGGUGGAAAGAUUUAUCGGUGAUGGAUGGACUCGCGGCCUAUCAGCUUGUUGGCGGGGUAAUGGCCCACCAAGGCGACGACGGGUAGCCGGCCUGAGAGGGUGACCGGCCACACUGGGACUGAGACACGGCCCAGACUCCUACGGGAGGCAGCAGUGGGGAAUAUUGCACAAUGGGCGAAAGCCUGAUGCAGCGACGCCGCGUGAGGGAUGACGGCCUUCGGGUUGUAAACCUCUUUCAGCAGGGAAGAAGCGAAAGUGACGGUACCUGCAGAAGAAGCACCGGCUAACUACGUG